UAUUACUUAGAAUUCAAACAAUUUGAGAAUAAUCUUGAUGUAGUAAAUGACUGUAGUGAGAGGGCUAUAAAACUAGUUCAGGAGUUGAUCAAUAAAUCGCAUAAUGAGGAUAAAAGACAAAGUACCUUCCUCGUAUCAAACAAAUAUAAGAGUGAAAGAACAAUUAAAAAAAAAUGUGAUUAUGUAAAGAAUUCUUUGUUUACAAAAUAAAUUUAUAAACAUGAACUAUGUUUGACAACUAAUUUCUUCAGAAACUAAUCAUAAAUAUGAUUUUAUUAUGUAAAUAUAAAUAUUUUAAUAC